rnacentral:lncRNA from 1 species
UCACUCUUCGAAUCGUCUGCAAGCCUACAUUUUCGUGGCCAUGUGACAAGGACCUCAUCUUUAGUUGACUUAAGGAGAAGUCCCCCAGCACUUGGGUCGUUUUCUUUGAUGUUGGCUUUUACAUAAAGGUAUGUAUCACUGAUUCUCAAAAGAGGAAAAUUAAGGAGUGUCAAAAAGAGAACGAGAGAGAAGCAGGAUGCUCUGGAGAAUGAAAGAUGCUGUACAUUCUGUAAAUCAUUUUGCUGGUUUCAAUAGAAAGUCCAGACCAAGUGGAAUAAAGUGCAUUUUGUGGGUCAGAUGUAAAAGACAGAAGAGACCUGCCCAAAGAAACAUUCCGUGGUACCAGAGGAAAUCGAGCACCAAGAGGCCUUUUUAUCCCCCCUAUACUCAAAGAUGAAAACUAGACUAGGGUCCCUUUUCAAGGUAAAAUGACAGGCAGGUCCAUUAAGCUGCUGUGAAAUUGUUCCCCAUCCUGCAAAUUCAUCCACCAGACCGGGCCCUGCAUCUUACUCAUCCUCAUGUCUCCAUUGUCUGAUAUAAGACCUGGCACAAAUUGGUACUUCCUGCUUGUUAGUGAAACUCAAUAUAUCACACAAUUAAGUACUUUUCCAUUUUAAGAUUGAACAGUAAACCUACCCUGUCUCCCUCUGUUCUCUGCUCUAACUCCUAGUUUGCUGUGGUGAUCACCCUUUAGUGUCUUAACAAGAUUCAAGGCACUGUUCACAUCCCACUAAAUUAGUUCCCUAUGGUUCCUAUAACAAAUUACUACAGACUUAGUGGCUUAAACCAACAGGGGUUUAUUAUGUUAUAGUUCUAGAGGUCAGAAAUCCAAAAUGGUUUUCAUUGGCCUAAAAUCAAGGUGUCAGCUGGGCCAU